GAUGAACGCUGGCGGCGUGCCUAAUACAUGCAAGUCGAGCGAGCAGACGAGGAGCUUGCUCCUCUGACGUUAGCGGCGGACGGGUGAGUAACACGUGGAUAACCUACCUAUAAGACUGGGAUAACUUCGGGAAACCGGAGCUAAUACCGGAUAAUAUAUUGAACCGCAUGGUUCAAUAGUGAAAGACGGUUUUGCUGUCACUUAUAGAUGGAUCCGCGCCGCAUUAGCUAGUUGGUAAGGUAACGGCUUACCAAGGCGACGAUGCGUAGCCGACCUGAGAGGGUGAUCGGCCACACUGGAACUGAGACACGGUCCAGACUCCUACGGGAGGCAGCAGUAGGGAAUCUUCCGCAAUGGGCGAAAGCCUGACGGAGCAACGCCGCGUGAGUGAUGAAGGUCUUCGGAUCGUAAAACUCUGUUAUUAGGGAAGAACAAAUGUGUAAGUAACUAUGCACGUCUUGACGGUACCUAAUCAGAAAGCCACGGCUAACUACGUG
rnacentral:rRNA from 1 species